rnacentral:lncRNA from 1 species
CAGAGGAAGGAGCCCUGCCUGGAGAUCCAAGAGCGCUAGUCGUGGCCUUGGCAGAGAUGGUUCCUUCAUCCUACCCGUGCCAACGGGCACAGUGCUGGGGGCCGAGUGUGCGGAGGUGAACAAACAGGCCAGCCUCUGUCUCCGGGAGCUGGGGCUCUAGUGCCCUCGAGGACAGCAAACAAAUUGGUUACACUGGCUAAUAACUUAUUGGAGAUCACAACUCCCUCUGCUGAGUUGACUCUUUACAACCAGCAAGAGUAGAGUAGAUCUGUUGACUCUUGCGCAUGGUGGAAGAUUCUAGAAUUCUAUUUUCUUGUGGUAACUGCAGCUGUUCAAAGACCAUCUCACCUCUCUGUGACCUUGACAGUAGAGACAGGAGGACAUCAACCACCUUCUUCUCACCUGGAAAGACAACUCUUAGUCCCUUUCCUCCCAUUUGGGUUUACUUUUAUCCCCGUAAUGCAGCCAGGCACGUAUGUCCCCUUAGCUCGGGGGCUUUGUGCUUACAAGUCAAAGGGGAAAUUGCCAGGCGGCCACUAGACAGCUGUCUGUCCCAUCGUUGGCUUCUGAAAGCCUGGGCUCUUUGAGAGGAAUGACGUUGGAUCUUCAGUGAGGGAGAGGAUGGAGGAGAGUAUUUUGAGAGGCAGAAGUCAUCGCACGCAGAGCAGAGGGAGGUCAGAUUCCGAAAGGACAGUGUUGGGCUGGAGCGCGUCUGCGUUUGCUGCCGCAGCCCCUCUGUGGGGAAUUGGGAGGCCC